UUACUUAUCCUUUCAAACCCUUGGAUUUCCUCAAACUAGUUCAAAACUCACAUGUGAGCUGGAGUAUCUAGGUAUCUGGCACGUGCUUUGAAUAUUCUAUUUUUCCCUGAAUACUUAUAUCUCAGUCCAGAAAAACAACCACCAAAAAAGCAAGGAGCAGAGACAACAUCCUCUCCAUUUCUAGGGAAAGAACAGGUGAGAGGUAAAGAGCUUCAGCUGCCAGAAAACUCACUUUUAAAGCUAAUGUGAAGAGGCACGUUAAUGACCAUACUAAUCUGUGGAAGAAGGCCACUUAAAACGCCACUGUCUGAACCGGGUUAGGAAUGUGUUGAAGAAGCCACUACCCGCAAUUUAGCAUUCCAGUAAUUGCUCUGUAAAAAGACCCUUGAGCCACUGUGUGAAGGAAAUGGUCUAGACAGCCCAGCACCAGGAAUGUGCCAUUGUGUGUGUAGCAGAUUGAGUUUACACUCUAUUCCUGAUUCACAAAGGGGCGAGUGUGCCAGUGGGCCGCAGGCCAGGAUGUGGGUGGUUAAAUAAGUGUUCUCGGAGGAAGCAAUGUUCUUUUGGGAUCUGCAUCAGCACACCAGCUGAUCAACAAAUGCAACAGUUUUGAAUGAAGUUAGACAAAAAGAUAAAUUGGACAUGCUCUUUUCCAAUGUGUAAAGAUCAACAGUAAACGGAUCCAAGGUCCUACAGAAACCCCUCAGUCACAGAGCUAAACACACAGGCCAGGCUCAGGAGACAGGGAAGCUGAUGGAAGACCGGGGGAGGCAGAGCAGUUACAGACCCAGCUACUGCUUCAUGUCAAGAACUUAACUGAGAAGAACACUAAAAUGCCUGGACAUGCUAGGGUUAUCAUCUAUUUGGGGAAAUCCUAAGCCUUUGAAACACAUGGCAAGGAAAAACUGACCUUACCUGAAAAAUACCUUACCCUGAAAAAUAAUGUAGCUGUGUUAAAAGAACCACAGGCAUGGAGAACUGUGAUGAGGUUUGCAGCUGGCAGGGGAGUAUGACAGUGCGGCCACAUGUGUCUCCAUCUUUCCUUUGGCAACCAAAUCGAGACUCACAUGAAACAACUCUGGGAGUUAGCUGAUGGCCCAAAAUGCAGAUCUGGCAUUCUUUUCCUCCCUACCCCCUUCUCAGCCGGUGAUUUGACAACAAAAACUGAAGCGGGUGUAUGUCCCAUUUCUAAGAACAUAUAUUUUAAAAAAAUUAUUAUUUAAUGAUGUGGCUAUUUUGAACUAUGAUUAAUAUAAGUACAUUUAAGAUGUAACAUUGGCAAGUUAGAAAACCACCAAGUAAGGCCAGAUGUGUAAACUGACUUGAUGUUUAAAUUUAAAACACCAGCAUCAGACUGAAAGGUCUGUUAUUCUAUGAGUCAAAUCACAGAGAAUUCACACACAAAUUAUGCUUACCUGUUAUUCCCGGAACCUAGAAAGAAUUGCUUUUUAAAGUUAUCAUUAACUAAUCUAUACAUCAUCAAGAUAAGUGGAUUUUGUUAAAAAUAUUGAAUUAUAGAAUGAACUUUAGAUUUUAUGGUAGUCUUGACAACACUUGAGAAUCCAGUUAUGUUCUAGAAACUGUACUACAAAUUGUGUUAUGCUUUAAAUUAUUGUGAGAUAUGUAAAAUUGUUGCUAAAUUACUGUUAUAUUCUUUCCUGAUUUAGCUUUGUUCACUAAUAACUAGAUAUCCUACCCCCAUCAAUACUGUAGGAACUCGGUAGAACUCUGCCAUUUCAGUUUUAUUGGACAUUACCACGACUACUUCCAGAUCAUGGAGAAAGGAAUGAGCAAAGUUCAUUAAGGGGAACUAGCACAUAAUAUCAAGUAGAUAUUCAAAAUGCACUUCAGAGAAGAAACACGUUCCCACUACCCAUGCACCUACUAGCAUUCACUUAAUGAGUAUAAAAACCUGUGUAUGGUCCUUUCACAUUUGUUAGAGUUAAUUAUACUCUAUUAAUAAUAAUUAAUAAUAAUACUCUAGCUUUUCAACCAUUUACUAUCACCAUUUCACAGACAAGAAAACACAGUCCCAGGGAUCCCGAGCAGACCUGGGGCUCAAUACCCACCCCUUUCCAGACACCUACUCAUCUAAUAACAAGUGCAAUUACAGAUCCUACCUGGGGAAAGGUGUAGAGUAGCCCACCCCAUGAAAUAAACAUAAAAUAAAAACAUAAAAAUAAAAAGAACCCAUGGCUUAUCAUUUAUCAGGUAUCUUAUUAUCUUUGGAAUAUCAUAGAAUAAAACCCUAUCAGAAUGCUGCCAUUGGCCUAUACAAUAAAAUUUUGUCCUGCUGCCUGACAAAAGCUCUUCAAUUCUAACCAUUUAAGAGAAAACUGUCUUUUACAAGUUAGUGUUCUUUUUUACAGCGUAUUUUAAACAAAUUAUAUUAUGUAAAUUUUAUCUAGAAGUGUAUUAUUCUUUUUAAGCAAUUUUAUAAAAAGGCUUCUUGAGUUGGU